GGUAAGGUUGACAGCAGCUUUUUGUCAGAGAGAAGGUCAGUGAGGAGACUGUGAUCUCUUUAAAUUCUAGACUCCCUGAAUUCAAUACUUCAGAAUUCCAUGCACAGUGACAAAUCUUUCAAAAAGCAAAGGCAAAAUGGACUUUUCAGACAAAUUCUCAGAGAAUUUAUCACCAGCAGAUCUGCACUGUAAGAAAUGUUGAUGCAAGCCCCACAGGAAAUAGAAUAUGAUACCUGUUGGAAGUUGAAUCUACCAAAGGAAAGACACCUGCACAGGUUUAAGAAGAUUUCUGUGCCUAGUGAUACGAUGAAGAGGUGCUGAGCUGGGAAACCCUUCCUGCCCUCCAUCAGACCUUCAUCUCUCUUCUCUCCACAACUGAGUAUGUUCCUUUUCUGAUCUCUUUAGAGAGGAAUUUGCAUUUAUUCACCUUAAAGAAAAGGUGAACCAAGGAUGAGCAUGGAUUUUGCCCAUCAGCAGAGGACUUGUUCCAUACAGUAGAAGGAUGCCUGUCAUCAUGAAGUGACAUUAAAGCGAGAAGACCCUCAGAUGGAGGAAUGAGCGGUCAUUGCUGGGCGGGACUUGUGCUUAAAAGAAAAUCUCCAGU